GGCUGCAUAGCUCAGUUGGCUAGAGCAUACGGUUCAUACCCGUAGUGUCGUUGGUUCAACUCCAACUGCAGCCACCA
rnacentral:tRNA from 1 species